rnacentral:rRNA from 1 species
UACGUAGGGUGCGAGCGUUGUCCGGAAUUAUUGGGCGUAAAGAGCUCGUAGGCGGUGUGUCGCGUCGGCCGUGAAAACCUGGGGCUCAACUCUGGGCGUGCGGUCGAUACGGGCAUCACUUGAGUUCGGCAGGGGAGACUGGAAUUCCUGGUGUAGCGGUGAAAUGCGCAGAUAUCAGGAGGAACACCGGUGGCGAAGGCGGGUCACUGGCCCGGUACUGACGCUGAGGUGCGAAAGCGUGGGGAGCAAACAGG